GACGAACGCUGGCGGCGUGCCUAAUACAUGCAAGUCGAGCGAGCGGAACUAACAGAUUUACUUCGGUAAUGACGUUAGGAAAGCGAGCGGCGGAUGGGUGAGUAACACGUGGGGAACCUGCCCCAUAGUCUGGGAUACCACUUGGAAACAGGUGCUAAUACCGGAUAAGAAAGCAGAUCGCAUGAUCAGCUUUUAAAAGGCGGCGUAAGCUGUCGCUAUGGGAUGGCCCCGCGGUGCAUUAGCUAGUUGGUAAGGUAAAGGCUUACCAAGGCGAUGAUGCAUAGCCGAGUUGAGAGACUGAUCGGCCACAUUGGGACUGAGACACGGCCCAAACUCCUACGGGAGGCAGCAGUAGGGAAUCUUCCACAAUGGACGCAAGUCUGAUGGAGCAACGCCGCGUGAGUGAAGAAGGUUUUCGGAUCGUAAAGCUCUGUUGUUGGUGAAGAAGGAUAGAGGUAGUAACUGGCCUUUAUUUGACGGUAAUCAACCAGAAAGUCACGGCUAACUACGUGCCAGCAGCCGCGGUAAUACGUAGGUGGCAAGCGUUGUCCGGAUUUAUUGGGCGUAAAGCGAGCGCAGGCGGAAGAAUAAGUCUGAUGUGAAAGCCCUCGGCUUAACCGAGGAACUGCAUCGGAAACUGUUUUUCUUGAGUGCAGAAGAGGAGAGAGGAACUCCAUGUGUAGCGGUGGAAUGCGUAGAUAUAUGGAAGAACACCAGUGGCGAAGGCGGCUCUCUGGUCUGCAACUGACGCUGAGGCUCGAAAGCAUGGGUAGCGAACAGGAUUAGAUACCCUGGUAGUCCAUGCCGUAAACGAUGAGUGCUAAGUGUUGGGAGGUUUCCGCCUCUCAGUGCUGCAGCUAACGCAUUAAGCACUCCGCCUGGGGAGUACGACCGCAAGGUUGAAACUCAAAGGAAUUGACGGGGGCCCGCACAAGCGGUGGAGCAUGUGGUUUAAUUCGAAGCAACGCGAAGAACCUUACCAGGUCUUGACAUCUAGUGCCAUUUGUAGAGAUACAAAGUUCCCUUCGGGGACGCUAAGACAGGUGGUGCAUGGCUGUCGUCAGCUCGUGUCGUGAGAUGUUGGGUUAAGUCCCGCAACGAGCGCAACCCUUGUUAUUAGUUGCCAGCAUUAAGUUGGGCACUCUAAUGAGACUGCCGGUGACAAACCGGAGGAAGGUGGGGAUGACGUCAAGUCAUCAUGCCCCUUAUGACCUGGGCUACACACGUGCUACAAUGGGCAGUACAACGAGAAGCGAGCCUGCGAAGGCAAGCGAAUCUCUGAAAGCUGUUCUCAGUUCGGACUGCAGUCUGCAACUCGACUGCACGAAGCUGGAAUCGCUAGUAAUCGCGGAUCAGCACGCCGCGGUGAAUACGUUCCCGGGCCU
rnacentral:rRNA from 1 species